GCCGAACCACCUUGAAAGCACCUGAUCCCAUUGAAUCUCAGAAGCUAAGCAAGGUUGGUCCCUGUUAUUAUCUGGAUGGGAGAAACGGCU
rnacentral:rRNA from 1 species